CGAGUUUGCAAGCUGAGUGCUUAGAAUAUUGGCAUAAUAAUAAAAGAUGCUGAAAACUGGAUUCCACUAUUUUAUUGAAUAUAUGAGUAAUCAUAUACUGAAUUUGUAAUGGAGGCAAGAUAAAAAAGCUAUGUUUUUCAGUGGUCAUACCAUGAUCUCAUGAAAAUAAAUAGGUUGACAUAUAUAAUUAAUUACUGCGUAUUUUGUUAUGACGACUAUUGCACAUUAAUACCAUAGCUUUGAAUCCAAUGAUGAAUAUCUUCAAGCAAGACACAAAUAGCAACAGAUUGGUUACCAAUUCACUCAGUAAACACAAUACUCCGGAAAAGUAUACACUGAAUUCACAAUAAAGUUGUUUUUCCACUUGGAACUUUGUAAACAGAAACCAAGUAACCUCGUUUUACUUCACUCAUAAGUCAUGAUGUACGCGAUGUGGUCACCUCGACCUUUCGUUCCUCCUCCCUCACACUGGCAGACGUCACUAACAAGCUUUCUUACCACCAUUAUCUCAAUACGAAUAACCGGCAGGAGUAAUUUGUUUUUCUAACUUGAUUUUAAAGCAACAAUAAUUAUAAAUCAUAUUUUAAAUUACAUUUUAAUGCAAUUUUAAUGUCAUCUUUUUCAUUUGCAUGUGUGUACCUUUCUGCUACAAAUAAAAGUUUUUUUCCC